rnacentral:rRNA from 1 species
UACAGAGGGUGCGAGCGUUAAUCGGAAUUACUGGGCGUAAAGCGCACGUAGUCGGCUUUGCAAGUCGGUUGUGAAAUCCCCGGGCUCAACCUGGGAACUGCAUCCGAAACUGCCUUGCUCGAGUAUGGGAGAGGGAAGUGGAAUUUCCGGUGUAGCGGUGAAAUGCGUAGAUAUCGGAAGGAACAUCAGUGGCGAAGGCGACUUCCUGGACCAAUACUGACGCUCAGGUGCGAAAGCGUGGGGAGCAAACAGG